GACGGACGCUGGCGGCGUGCUUAACACAUGCAAGUCGAACGGAAAGGCCCCAGCUUGCUGGGGUACUCGAGUGGCGAACGGGUGAGUAACACGUGGGUGAUCUGCCCUGCACUCUGGGAUAAGCCUGGGAAACUGGGUCUAAUACCGGAUAGGACCGUGCUUUAGUGUGUGCGGUGGAAAGUUUUUCGGUGCAGGAUGAGCCCGCGGCCUAUCAGCUUGUUGGUGGGGUAAUGGCCUACCAAGGCGGCGACGGGUAGCCGGCCUGAGAGGGUGUACGGCCACAUUGGGCCUGAGACACGGCCCAGACUCCUACGGGAGGCAGCAGUGGGGAAUAUUGCACAAUGGGCGCAAGCCUGAUGCAGCGACGCCGCGUGGGGGAUGACGGCCUUCGGGUUGUAAACCCCUUUCGGCAGGGACGAAGCUUUUGUGACGGUACCUGCAUAAGAAGCACCGGCUAACUACGUG
rnacentral:rRNA from 1 species